rnacentral:rRNA from 1 species
GCUUACGGCCAUACCACCCUGAACACGCCCGAUCUCGUCAGAUCUCGGAAGCUAAGCAGGGUCGGCCUGGUUAGUACUUGGAUGGGAGACCGUGGGAAUACCAGGUGCUGUAAGCU